rnacentral:lncRNA from 1 species
AAAGAAAGAAAGAAAGAAAGAAAGAAAGAAAGAAAGAAAGAAAGAAAGCAAACAAAGGAAGGAAGGAAGGAAGGAAGGAAGGAAGGAAGGAAGGAAGGAAGGAAGGAAGGAAGGAAAGAGGGCAUUGCUUCAAAUCUGUUGGAGAUAUGUAAUUUAAAAAUCUCAUUGGAUAUUUCUAAUACACUACUAAUGAUACCUUAGAAACUGGCUCAAUGAUAGAGGGAUUUCUAAGCAGUGUAAUUUCUACAUUCGAUGAACAGCUCCAUGAAUAUGCAAUAUAAAGAAUGAUUGCAGCUAACAUUGUUUCUAAUAAGGCUUAUUCCAAUCUCUGGGUUGCUUUUAAUAAUCACAUAGUCAUUCAGAAGAUUUGUUCUCCUGCUCCAUUUUGAAGGCUGUUCUGUGCUUCAUAAAAUCAGUUCAUAUAAAACCACUGAGUUGAUUUUUCAUUUUGCCUUUUCUGGAUACCUAGGGAUACAAUUGCAACUUGUCAUUUAUUCUAUAUGCAUUUUUGAAAGAUAACAUUUUUUUGUAUUUUGGGGCUGUUGUAAAUAAAAUGCUGUAAUUACAUAGCUUAUAAACAACAAACAACUGUCACAUCCCAACCUAGAGGCUGAGAAGGCCAAGUAGAGCCAGCAGAGGUGGGUUCUAGUGUGAGCACACACUUCCUGCCUCACAGAUGAUGGUCUUGCUGUGCUUUCUCCUGUCAGAUGGGCAAAGGAUGUUCUUGGAGGCCUCUUUUAUGAGCACAAUAAGCCAAACCUGAGAGUCAGAGCCCUCAAUGUGAGCCCUUCACACAGGCUCCGCCACCACACACCCCCGUCUUGUGACUAAAUCUCAACAUAAUGGACUGGGAGAGUGGAUGGCACAAGGGUUCUGACUGUCACACCUGGGUGCGUGUCAUUCAAUAAGAGCAAUGAUGACUUGUUCCACCUAGAAAGUGCUCUGAAUAGAGAGGCAUCUCAAUGCAAUUUCUUCACCAUUACUCACUCAUCUUUUUGUGAUAUCACUUUCCUUUAUUAUCCAGAAACAUAAGUGGAGGAGGGAGAGCUACAGGGCAUGGAUCCACAGAAGAGGAAGUAGGAUAUCACUGUGAUAUAUUCUUUGUUUGUUUGUUUGUUUGUUUGUUUGUUUGUUUGAACUGAGUGUCAGAGAUCCUAGCAGGGUUCUACUCUAUGGACUGGAUGCCUCUUCUGUGAGGUCUUGAAUUCAUGGAAGUGAUUAAAAUCUGAUUUGGAUAGAUUAGCAUAUCUCAGAGAUUUCUAAUUAACUGAGAUUCUCUUCCCCUUGUCUUUUUUUCUCCCUCUUUCUUUUCAUUUUCAUUUUCAUUUUUUUUCUUGCCUUGAUUUUUGUUUUUAUUAAGUCAUUUUUUUUCUUUGUUAGGCAGAAUCUCACAUCAUAACCCCAAAUGACCUGUUACUCACCAUGUGGCCCAGCUGUCUUCAAACUCACCAGCCUCCUGCCUUAGCCUUCUAAAUGCUUGGAUUACAGGCAUGACCCACCAUAACUGGCUUUGUUUUAGUUUCAGAGAAGAUGAAACUGAUGUGCGUCAAAAAGUAAACUACCCACAUUUUAACUGGGCACAUUCCUGUCAAUCUGAUGAGAAUCUAUUUCAUACCCUGCUUUAGCUGGUAGUCUGUCAAGGAAAUGAGCUGAACAUGUCUGUGUACAGCUUUUGUGCCAUCCCUGGAUGAGCGAGCUGUCUGCCUCUAUGUUCUCCACAAAAUGGAAUAUAGCUGUACACCCAAGCCAAGUUAUGGAGGCUGGGAAGACCUAGAAUGUGGCAUCACUAUUUGGUAAGAACCUUCCUAUGUCAUUGUAGAGUGAGGGACUUGGGUACCACAUGGCAAGGCAUAGUACCCAAAUCCCUUUCCUUCAUAAAAGUAUUAAUGUCAUCAAAGAGGCCCCACCACCAUGAUGCCAUCUGGGGCCUCAUGACCCCAAUGCCUGAUGCCAAAGACUCCCACCUCAAAAUACUUUUUUCUUCAGCAUAACAUUUUAUUAAUUAUCUGGGAAUUUCACAUCAUGUACUCCAAUCACACUCAGUUCCCAGUCCUUCCAUGUCAGCCCCCACCCUUGUUACUUGCCCCCCAAAAGAGGAAAAUUAAAACUAAGAAUUAAAAAAAAUUAAAAAAAUUAAAAUACACAAGUCCAAUUUAUGUUACCUAUAUACUCACUGAAGCAUGGUCAGAUUCUCAGUGGCCUGGCCCUUAAAUAGAAGUGAGUCUUCCCCCUCCUGCAUCUGAAGCCAUUAAUUGCGUAGAGCUACACUUCAACAUCUACAUCACACUUUCAAAGAGUUCUCUUCAGUGGAUUCCUGUUCUAGACCAUUACUUUGGAGACAGGGGUAGGGGAUUGUCACAAAAAGCCUUCCAUGUCCCUUCGUCUCAGUUGUACACCUGCAGUCAUCAAUAUCCCAGUGUAACUAGUCCCCUUGUUCUUCAUAGUUAGUGGAAACAUGGAUCAUGGGCCUCUCAAGGUUUCUGAUAACAUCCCAGACCAUGAACAUGGCCCUCAGGUGCAGGAGGACCACAGAUCCAGACAAAGACCAGAUCACAGCCAUAAAAAUAGCCUCAGGUGGCAGCAAAGGCCACUCAGAUUAGUAUGGCCUUUGGUGGCAGCACUAUCCAUAAACAUCAACGUAGCUUCAGGCAGCAGCACAGACUGUGAACAUCUCAUGGUCUUCAGUGGUAACACAAGCCAUGGAUAUCUACCUACAGCAGAACCAUAUAUAGAUUUGAUAAGUUUCCACACAUGAACCCAGGACACAUUUAAAUCAUGGCAGUCUACAUCCUGAUCCUUCCCUUGUC